ensembl:misc_RNA Metazoa_SRP Metazoan signal recognition particle RNA
GCUAGGUGUGGUGGCUCACACCUGUAAUCCUAGCACUUUGGGAAGCUGAGGCAGGUGGAUCACCUGAGGUCAGGAGUUUGAGACCAGCCUGACCAACAUGGUGAAACCCCGUCUCUA